GGACGGAGGAGCAGGAAAUUUCUCACACUUACAGAGAAUAUAGAGAAGGAGUGCACAAUGAUAAUAUUUAUUUUUAAAUUAUGCAUUAAUAAUACAUUAAAUCAAUAAAAAAACAUUACACACCCUCUCAUGUAUUUGACACACACACAUAUUUAUACUCUAUGUUUAUUGUCAAACUUUUGUUAUUGCUUAAAGUCUGUGGUCAAAUUGAACCAUAAUGAUGUUCAAACUUAUAAUUUCAAUUAAUUAUAGUCGAAUUUCGACUAUUGCGGGAUCACUAGUUACAUUAAUCAGACGAAAGUGUCAAAUUUAAAUUAUAUUCACAUACAAAAAUAAACGUUAUUAAAUAAUCUGAAUUUGGUGCAAACAUUGGCUGAAAUAUUGGCCGAAGCGCGUUCGGCAAGGGCAUGUACUUAUGAUUCUUAUCUAUAGCUACUGAAACUGCUUUACAUACAUAGAUAAAAAUAAACAAUUAUUUUACAACCACCGGCGAUAAGUGCACGAAGCGUUUGUAAAGAUAUCUGUAUACUGUUUCACACCGAGGCUGGCUCGUUUAUGGCGUAGUUCCCUGCGGAUCGUGAUAGCGGUGUGUUAUCGCGCGCUCGCUCCCGGCCGAUAGCGAUCCUAAAUAAAUGAAAGGUGGGCGCUCGUGACGGUGUGAUACGAAGAUCAACUUGCGGAUUUCGUUUUAUGCAUUUAUAUUAAAUAAAGAAAGGGAAUUCAUUCUUAAAGUGAAAUAUCUAAUGGCACGCGGUCAGGUGGCUUUUAUUGCACUUCAGCAGAUUGAUGUUGUGUCUUCGCUCGACUCGCGUGUUUCGACUCGCGACUCUUUUAUACGCUUGUAUUAAUAACGCCUGUGCAAUAUAAUUUUAUCAAAAACAAUGCGAUAUCUGUAUUUAUUUUUAACAAGCUUUUCUCAGAAAAGUCAAAUCGAUUUUUAAGCAACUAAUCAGGGUAGUUUUAGUGUCGCCUCCCGCCGGUCAGUUGGAGAGGAUAGAAAGAGACUGUACAGUGAAGAGAGUGCUGUUGUUUCGUCUGAGCGGAAAACUUCUGGUCGGACGAGCAGAUACAGGUAGCGCGAUGCAGUUAGAAACGAUCUCGCCCUUGGAAUUCAAGAGCAGAGCAGUUUGUAGUUAUUUAUAUGUGUUAUUUUAAAAUAAUAUUGAUGUAUUUUGAUGUAUAGCAUUAUGGUGGGCCGAAGUCUCGCCUGUCAACAAUUAAGCCAUUCUACUGCACUCAUUUAGGAGACCUGCCCCUAUAGUUUUCUUGCUCUUACAUGAGCUGAUAAAAAACAAUAAAUGUGACAUUUAACAUAUUGUGGCCAGUGUUAGCAAAUUAUCUCAGGUCGAGCCCGUGAGCUCUCCUACCCGUCCGCGCGUAAUUUGAAUAGCCUUUUCGGCUCCCAGUGAGUAAGUAGGGGAAAAAAUGAAGAAUAUGAAAGCCAAUACGAAAGAUAAGCAGCAUCAAGGCCGUUCGUCUGUGUGAACUGGGAAGUGCAAGGACCUCUUAAUUGGUGACAGGACCUCUUGUGAGUCCGCACGGGUAGGUACCACCACCCUGCUUAUUUCUGCCGUGAAGCAGUAAUGCGUUUCGGUUUGAAGGGUGGGGCAGCCAUUGUAACUAUACUGAGACCUUAGAGCUUAUAUCUCAAGGUGGGUGGCGCAUUUACGUGGUAGAUGUCUAUGGGCUCCAGCUACCACUUAACACCACGUGUGCUGUGAGCUCGUUCACCCAAAUAAAAAAUAAAUAAAAAGUUUUUUUUGGCUAUCAGCGCAUAGCUAGGGGGAAAAGUGUUUAACAGAUCAUCAUACAAAAAUCUUCAGAGAAUUCAUACAAGAGAAAUGUAAAGGUUCAACAUUCAACGGAAUCACUUUCAAAAUACCAUCAAUCGGCACCACGCAUCAAGCCCGCGACCUUUCGUCAGCCCCGCCUCGAUUCCUAAUCAAUUACGGCUCGUGAUCAGACCAGCCCACCCGCCUCACUGAUCGCACGAACUCAAAAUAUCAGAUACAAGAUCGAUAUCAUAUAAUAACAUUACUAAGCCCCAAAUUAGCAUAAAUACGUGUAACCUAUUUUACUAGCUAAUCUUGUUCGAAUCAAAACACUUUUACGGUUUAAUCUCGUGUUUUAAUGUUAUGUAAUGUUAAUGUAAUGUUUUAAAAUUUCUGGCGUCUCAAAUAAUUUGUAUACAGUUGCCGUCGCGGCGCCGGCGUCGUCACGAAAAACCAAUAAGGUUAUUAUUGUGUUUUGAAUUUGAUAAAUAAUUAAAUAUGUUAAAGUAUCAAGUACAUAAAUAUUUUAAUAUUUUUUGUUUAAUAUAAUUAAGACUAAUAUUGGUUAUUUAUUCUUUUUAGUAUUUUCUUUAUGUGUAGAUCAUUGAUGUAUUAAUAAAUGAUGUUUUUAUAUAUCUAUGGUGUAUAUAGAUUGCCGCUGCCUAUUUAUGACAGUAAGGGAAAGUUGAUUGUCUCCAUGAGGUUAAAAUGAAUUUGUUAUAAAAUUGUAAGUAUUUUUCUUACCUUUUUACUAUUUUAUUACCUUGUUAUUCCUUACUUAAGAUUCAAUUUGGAGGGUGAUUAGUAUUUAUUUAACAGUAUCUCACUUCUGGUUCCUAAAACUACAUACUUUUACAUAAAAACCGUAAAUCUCGCGUUUAUUAUUGUCAUUAUAUUAUUUCAGAUAUUUGGAAUACUUUACAGCUUCGGUAUGAUUCGUUGACAUUUGGAGUAAUAUUAUACUAACUACCGUAUUUUUUGUAAAUAAAGAUGAAUUCCU